UACGAAGGGUGCAAACGUUGCUCGGAAUCAUUGGGCGUAAAGCGCACGUAGGCGGCGCUGCAAGUCGGACGUGAAAUCCCUCGGCUCAACUGGGAAACUGCAUCGGAAACUGAUCGGCUUGAAGGUGGGAGAGGGUAGUGGAAUUCCCGGUGUAGUGGUGAAAUGCGUAGAUAUCGGGAGGAACACCAGUGGCGAAGGCGGCUCACUGGUCCGGUACUGACGCUGAGGUGCGAAAGCGUGGGGAGCAAACAGG
rnacentral:rRNA from 1 species